UGGUCAAGUUAUUAAGGGUGCAGGGCGGAUGCCUUGGCACUAGGAGCCGAUGAAGGACGUGAUAAGCUGCGAUAAGCUUCGGGGAGUUGCACGUAAACUUUGAUCCGAAGAUUUCCGAAUGAGGAAACUCACUUAGAGUAAUGUCUAAGUAUCGUUAAGUGAAUACAUAGCUUAAUGAGGGGAACUCAGGGAACUGAAACAUCUAAGUACCUGAAGGAAGAGAAAGAAAUUCGAUUCCGUAAGUAGCGGCGAGCGAACGCGGAUUAGCCCAAACCAAUAAAGUUUUCUUUAUUGGGGUUGCGGACAUAUCAUAACGAAGAGGUAUCGUAAUUGAAGAGGUUUGGAAAGACCCACCACAGAAGGUAAUAGUCCUGUAUGUUAAACGAGAAGACUUUAGAUAUGAUCCAGAGUACCACGGGACACGUGAAACCCUGUGGGAAGCAGGAGGGACCACCCUCCAAGGCUAAAUACUACCUAGUGACCGAUAGCGUAUAGUACCGUGAGGGAAAGGUGAAAAGAACCCCGGGAGGGGAGUGAAAUAGAACCUGAAACCCUGCACUUACAAGCUGUGGAAGCACAUUUCUUGUGUGACCGCGUACUUUUUGUAGAACGGGCCAACGAGUUACGUUAAGUAGCAAGGUUAAGCACUUAAGGUGCGGAGCCGUAGCGAAAGCGAGUUUUAACUGAGCGUUCAGUUACUUGACGUAGACCCGAAACCGGGCGACCUACCCAUGAGCAGGAUGAAGCGAAAGUAAAAUUUCGUGGAGGUCCGAACCCACGAGCGUUGAAAAGCUCGGGGAUGACUUGUGGGUAGCGGUGAAAUUCCAAUCGAGCCCGGAGAUAGCUGGUUCUCCCCGAAAUAGCUUUAGGGCUAGCCUCAAGGUGAGAGAUACGGAGGUAGAGCACUGAAUGUCCUAGGGGGUAUUGCACCUACCGAAGACUAUCAAACUCCGAAUGCCGUCAUCUUAUACUUGGGAGUCAGACUGUGGGUGAUAAGAUUCAUAGUCGAAAGGGCAACAGCCCAGAUCGUCAGCUAAGGUCCCUAAAUGUAAGUUAAGUGGUAAAGGAUGUGGGAUUGCACAGACAACCAGGAUGUUGGCUUAGAAGCAGCCACUCAUUCAAAGAGUGCGUAAUAGCUCACUGGUCGAGUGAUCCUGCGCCGAAGAUUUCCGGGGCUAAAACUUACUACCGAAGCUACGGCAUCAGUAAUGAUGGGUAGGGGAGCUUCCCAUACGGGUUGAAGCAUGACCGUAAGGACAUGUGGACAGUAUGGGAGUGAGAAUGUUGGCAUGAGUAGCGAGAUGUGGGUGAGAAUCCCACAGGCCGUAAACCCAAGGUUUCCAGGGGAAGGUUCGUCCGCCCUGGGUUAGUCGGGACCUAAGCUGAGGCCGAAAGGCGUAGGUGAUGGACAACAGGUUGAUAUUCCUGUACUACCGAUAACCGUUUGAGAGAAGGGAUGACACAGUAGGAUAAGCUAAGCACACUGUUGGUUAUGUGUGCCCAAGCAUUGAGGCAGUCAAAGUAGGUAAAUCCGCUUUGAUAAUGCUGGGAUGUGAUGGGGAGCGAAAUUUAGUAGCGAAGUAGCUGAUUUCACACUGUCAAGAAAAGUCUCUAUCGAGGUUAAAGGUACCCGUACCGCAAACCGACACAGGUGGGUGAGGAGAGUAUCCUAAGGCCAGCGAGAGAACUGUUGUUAAGGAACUCGGCAAAAUGACCCCGUAACUUAGGGAUAAGGGGUGCCACCAUCAGGUGGCCGCAGAGAAUAGGCCCAAGCGACUGUUUACCAAAAACAUAGGUUUCUGCUAAGUCGCAAGACGAUGUAUAGGAGCUGACGCCUGCCCGGUGCUGGAAGGUUAAGGGGAUCUGUUAGAGCAAUCGAAGCAGUGAACUUAAGCCCCAGUAAACGGCGGCCGUAACUAUAACGGUCCUAAGGUAGCGAAAUUCCUUGUCGGGUAAGUUCCGACCCGCACGAAAGGCGUAACGAUUUGGGCACUGUCUCAACAACAGACUCGGUGAAAUUGUAAUUCCGGUGAAGAUGCCGGAUACCUGCGACAGGACGGAAAGACCCCAUGGAGCUUUACUGUAGCUUGACAUUGGGUCUUGGUACUACAUGUACAGGAUAGGUGGGAGGCUUUGAAACCAGGACGCCAGUUUUGGCGGAGCCAUCCUUGGGAUACCACCCUUGUAGUACUGGGACUCUAACCAUAGGCCAUGAAUCUGGUCUUGGGACACUGUCAGGUGGGCAGUUUGACUGGGGCGGUCGCCUCCCAAAAGGUAACGGAGGCGCUCAAAGGUUCUCUCAGUACGGUCAGAAAUCGUACGUAGAGUGUAAAGGCAAAAGAGAGCUUGAUUGCAAGACAUACAGGUCGAGCAAGGAUGAAAAUCGGACUUAGUGAUCCGGUGGUUCUGCGUGGAAGGGCCAUCGCUCAACGGAUAAAAGCUACCCUGGGGAUAACAGGCUUAUCUCCCCCAAGAGUCCACAUCGACGGGGAGGUUUGGCACCUCGAUGUCGGCUCAUCACAUCCUGGGGCUGUAGUAGGUCCCAAGGGUUGGGCUGUUCGCCCAUUAAAGUGGUACGCGAGCUGGGUUCAGAACGUCGUGAGACAGUUCGGUCCCUAUCCGUCGCAGGCGUAGGAAAUUUGAGAAGACCUGUCCUUAGUACGAGAGGACCGGGAUGGACGUACCUCUGGUGUACCAGUUGUCCUGCCAAGGGCAUGGCUGGGUAGCUAUGUGCGGAAUGGAUAAGCGCUGAAAGCAUCUAAGCGCGAAGCCAACUUCAAGAUAAGAUUUCCCACCGCAAGGGUAAGACCCCAGAAAGACUAUCUGGUUGAUAGGUCGAAGGUGUAAGUGCAGCAAUGUAUUUAGCUUAUCGAUACUAAUAGGUCGAGGACUUGACCAAU
rnacentral:rRNA from 1 species